rnacentral:rRNA from 1 species
CGCAUCUGUGCAUGCAGCAUAUCAAUAAGCGGAGGAAAAGAAACUAACAAGGAUUCCCUUAGUAACGGCGAGUGAAGCGGGAAGAGCUCAAAUUUGAAAUCUUCAAGGUUUUACCUUGACGAAUUGUAGUUUAAAGAAGUGUUUUCUGUUGAAGUUUUGGUAAAAGUUCUUUGGAAUAGGACAUCAUAGAGGGUGAGAAUCCCGUAUUUGACCAUUAUUUUCAGCUGUGUGAUACACUUUCAAAGAGUCGGAUUGUUUGGGAAUGCAGUCCAAAAUGGGUGGUAAAUUUCAUCUAAAGCUAAAUAUUGGCGAGAGACCGAUAGCGAACAAGUACCGUGAGGGAAAGAUGAAAAGAACUUUGAAAAGAGAGUUAAACAGUACGUGAAAUUGUCAAAAGGGAAGCGUUUGACACCAGUGUUGUUUUCUCGAAAAUCAAUUAAAAAGAGUUUGAUUUUGUUGUGUAUUGACCUUAACAGCUUGCAUUUCAAUUUUCUUGCUUUUUUUAAUGCACUUUACGUUUAACAAGUCAACAUCAGUUUCUUUUGUUGUAAAAAGGUCAUUGGAAGGUGGCUUUCUUUUCGGAGAAAGUGUUUAUAGCCUUUGACUCCUGCAAUCGGAGAGACUGAGGUCUGCAGCGUAGAUCCUUCGGGGUUAGAUACAUUUGUGCUAAGUUAUAGCUUUUUAUAGACAACUUGUUGACUAUGAUUAGUCUUGUAGCUUACUCGCUUAUGCUAUUUUACCUACGCUUAGGAUGUUGAACUCUAUCACACACAG